CGAUUUUUUUACACGUACUAAAUGGUCGGAAACGGAUAUAUUACUAUAUCUACUUGUAGGGGAUUUUGAACAAAGGUAAAAUAACACAAACAUCACUCCCAUCAAAAAAGGAAUUACUACACACAAAACAUAAGACGAAAUCGAACUUCAAAGCCUUCAAUCAAGUGAUGAAUUGCUUAUUUGUACAUACACAAACCACGUAACAGAUGAACAGAUAUUGCCUAUUUUAUACAUUGUACAUAGUUAUUGAUCCAAUUAACUUAUAUCAUUCGUUUGUCUUAUGGUGAUGUGAUUAAUUCUUUAUGAAGCAAAUCGUCAAUGGAACCAUUAAGGAUAACACAAAAGCGUGACAGACUUUCUUCACUACACUUCCACAAAAUCUGAUCAAACCGAAGUCUGCUUAUGUAAUAAAAUGGUCCUUUGAAACAACACUCUGAUCAGCAAAUAUAUGUGUUGCAACUCAUAUAAAGCAUUCUUCUGUAAUGAAGAGUUAGAUAUGGUAGAUAAACUUACAGGUAGUUCGAACUGUGAUGAGAUACUAGUAUAGUAAUUGAAGUUCUUGAUUUCGUGCUAGAUCCUUUUACGGUGCAUGAAGUUGUUUAUAAAACCCGUAAAUUUAAUUGCGAUCAGUAUGAACCUAAACUUUUGCUUCUUUGAGUUUAAUUAUAAAAAAAGUCAUCUAUUUAAUUUCGUAUUAAGAUAUCUAAUAUGUCUUAUAUAUAUACUAAAAUGUCUUAUAUUCCAGCAUAUAUACGUAGCAAGAAAGAAUAUGGGUGAAAAUGAUCUCCUCUGUCUGCAACAUGUCUGUACAUUGAUGAUUUCUGACAGAUAUUUCGACAACAAGUGUGUGUCAAAGUUGAUGGUAUCAUAAACCCAAGAGCUAAACGGGCCUCCAAAAUUUAAAUGUCUAAGUGUCUCAAUGAAAAGACCAAGAUAUGGAAUGAAUUUGCCUUCUCAAAAUCAACCAACAACAGAAGAUCUUUGAAUAUUGUCUUUAUCAGUGCUGAUAUUGAUUUGUUUCCAAAGCAUUGAGAAAUCUACAUGUAUAUAUGGCAAUAUCAGUUAUGGAACUUUCGAUCAAGCAAACUGUCGGUGCUCAUGUACAAGGAAUAAAACUGUUUAUCACGUCCAUACGCUUUUAAUUCAUUGGAUGCGAAGUGAUUGAAAUUUAAGACUGGGAAAAUAUGGCUAAUCUCCUUGAAAAUGAAAUGUUCCAUGGACUAGCUUUCAGAAACUACACGUACUAUAGGUGUUUU
rnacentral:lncRNA from 1 species